GGUACCGUCGACGGUAGGUAAGUUUCGGAUUACCGUCGGCACGAGGACGAACGCUGGCGGCGUGCUUAACACAUGCAAGUCGAACGGAAAGGCCUGCUUUUGUGGGGUGCUCGAGUGGCGAACGGGUGAGUAACACGUGAGUAACCUGCCCUUGACUUUGGGAUAACUCAGGAAACUGGGCGUAAUACCGGAUAGGAGCUCCUGCUGCAUGGUGGGGGUUGGAAAGUUUCGGCGGUCGGGGAUGGACUCGCGGCUUAUCAGCUUGUUGGUGGGGUAGUGGCUUACCAAGGCUUUGACGGGUAGCCGGCCUGAGAGGGUGACCGGCCACAUUGGGACUGAGAUACGGCCCAGACUCCUACGGGAGGCAGCAGUGGGGAAUAUUGCACAAUGGGCUGAAGCCUGAUGCAGCAACGCCGCGUGCGGGAUGACGGCCUUCGGGUUGUAAACCGCUUUCGCCUGUGACGAAGCGUGAGUGACGGUAAUGGGUAAAGAAGCACCGGCUAACUACGUG
rnacentral:rRNA from 1 species